rnacentral:sRNA from 1 species
UAUACCGAUUCCGUGACAGGAAGGAGGUGUACCUUAUGCUUGAUUUAGUUAUCCUGUUAAUUGUUUCUAUCAUGGCAAAUGUAAUUAGUUAUUUCAUUUGCAAAUGGCUAGAUAGUAACAGUAAAUAGUGGCUGGCCUAUUGUUAUUUUAUCGGAUAACAAGCAAAAAGCACAGGAGUACCAGUCCUGUGCUUUUUUGUGUACCCUA